rnacentral:misc_RNA from 1 species
AAAGUCGUAACAAGGUAUCCGUAGGUGAACCUGCGGAUGGAUCAUUAACGUAGUAAUAGUAGCCUCUGGUUAUUAUCAUCUCAUGUUAACCCUUGUGGUGAAAUAGCUUGUUGUUGUUGUUUGGCGGGAGUGCGUUGGUAACAGUGCGCAACCGCCGGCAUCAUUAUAAACCUGUUUUAUUACAUUGUACUAAUGCUAUCUUGUGGUGGGAGCAGGCGCAAGUCUGUGACGACACCAAGUAAAACAAUAGUAACCAAAUACAACUGCUAGCAACGGAUCACUCGGCUCUC